AGACGCACUCCAGUGCCAGACGCCGACCGACGACAGAGCGCAGUGACAGACGCGACCCAAAGACCUGCAGCGGCGGAGUAGACACCCACGUGACAGACAGACGGACAGAAGCCCGUGGAGACAGACACGCGCAGACGGACGACCUCAUGCAGUGACAGGCACAGACAAACGCAGGGACGACUUUCACAGACGGACGGACACACUUGGACACCCUGUCGGUCUCGCUCGAGGCUGGUGAAGUUAGCGCAAGGCCAAGGGGUCAUGCAUCCCCGGCCACGACACAGACGGGUGGCAUGGGAGGAGAGGCAUGUGGGAGUGUGGCAGAGUACCGUCCCCUUAGGGGUCCAGGUGGCACGGGUGCAGAAAAGGUGACGUGGGACACUCCUGGGGAUGAAAGGACACCUGUGGGAAUGGAGAUGUAAAAUGGGAUCGCUAGUGGAAAUGAGGUGGGAGGGCAUGGAGACAGGAGACCCCUGGGGGAGGAAGGGGUGACUUGGGACACCUGAGAAGGCAGGACAGCGUGGUAGCACGCGCAAGGCUGCUGGGCGAGGCCGCACUCCGCGGCGGCAGUGGAAACUUCUGGAACCCCCGCGGGUGGGUCUGUGCUGGUUCCCUGACGGGUGACUUCGGA
rnacentral:lncRNA from 10 species